CCGCGAGAUCGUGACCUGGCUGAAGUCGGACGCCUAACCGACUGCGCCACCCAGGCGUCCCAGGAAAAGACCUACAGCCACCAUUGAACAGGUGCACAGAGCGGACACAACUGUUCAAGACCACAGAGGAGACUCCUGGGACAGCCUCCACAGCCAGAAGGAAACUGCCCUGGGCUUUCUAAACAAGCACAUUCUCACAUCUUGUAAUGGUGUCACAGCUAGGGUGGAAUCUUCUAAGUGUCAGGAAACGACUGCCAGUUCCCGGGACUGAAGGCCAUUUCUCUGACUCCUGAGGGAACGCCCUGGUUUUCUAAAGCCUAGGAUGGCCUGACCGUGACCCUGAAGAAUGGAGAGACCAGGCUGGAUGCUCCUCACUCUGGGCCAAGUUGGAGGGGACCAUGCUGUUACAUCUUACGGGGAACUUUUAAAAUGAAUGGAUCAGGCUGUCACUGUCUAAAUCCACUAAUCAAAUCUCAACAUCCCCAAAGAGGAGACCACUAGACAUCAUGCACUCAUGAUGUGAUGAGAGAGGAAGUUCACAGGCCAUCGGUGAAGUAUCCUUGUCAAACAGUGCAACCUGGAUUAAUCGAGAUCUAAAUGAUACUUUUUAGGAAAUACAGGUCUUAGGGAAAUACGUUGGAUGAUGCCACACAGAUGCAAUCAGCAAAACGCAGAAUGUGGGAAACUCUAUGGGGCAAAUGACCCAGUUUCUCCAACAAAUACAUUAUAAGGGGAAAAGAAAAGUCAGGGGAGCCCUUAAAUUAAAAGAGACCUAGAAGAUACAGUAACCAGCUGCAAGGAGUGGAUCGUGUUGGGAUACUAACUAAAAAAAGAAAAGAAAGAGAGAAAGAAACUGUGAGAAAAUUGAGGAACGUUGAACACUGAUUGAAUAUUUGACAAUAUUAAUUCAUGAUGGUCUAUUGCACUAUUUUCUCCAUUUUGUGUGUGCUUGAAAUGUUCCAUAAUAUAAAGCUUAAAAACAGAGUGUGGGGAGGGAGGGAUACUCACGUACAUAGGAGUCAUUAAGAAAGAUUUUCUAUGAUAAAUGGGAAUAAUAAUCACUAUUUUCUAAGUACAGGGCCAACAGGUAAGUCACUCUUUGCUGUUUCUUCUUUAGUAACCAAUACUGUAAUCAGUAACUUACUGUAGACCCUAAAAGACUAUUUCAGGGAAGAUAUGCUGCUCUUCAUGAACAAAAGGGCUUAGCUCCAAUGUGAUUAGUCCUGCAGGCAGGCUUUUUUCAGCUACCUUAGCAAUGACCAGGGCCAGUGCUUGGCUGGACGAUGAAACCAUGAGAGAGGUAUAGAAUGCUUCUGUAUCACCUUCCUACUGCCUCUCUCAGGUCUUCCUGCCUCUUCCAUACUCCUUUGCCACAAAGGAGCACGGCUACUUUGUCCAGUUGAGCAGGUUGUACACUGCACAACUCUAGGGAAAUACAGAGCCUGUGUGAAUGAUACCCCUUUGGACUUAGGCCGCACGGAAACCCUUAGCAGCAGCCUAGUCACUUCAUGUCAUCUCGGAGUUUGGGACUCCUUAGCCUUAACCAGGCCUAUUUCCUCAGGACCCUACUUUCAGUCUCUGCUAAGGUCAAUGAGUAAUAAUGGUGUAAAUCAUAUUAGAUUUGUUUUUUUUUAAUGUAGGCUUCACGCCCAGCACAGAGGCCAAGGUAGGGCUUGAACUCACGACCGUGAGACCAAGACCUAAGCUGAGAUUGAGUCUGACACUUAACUGACUGAGCCACCCAGACACCCCCAUAUGAGCUCUUUAAGUUGGCAUUUUUCUAGUAUUUCUACCGAUAUCUUUCUCCCACCUAUAAAAUUCCCAUAUGUGUUAGUCAAGAUAGGCUGAAAGCUCCCAGACCUUAGUAGUUGAACAAAAUGGGUUUUGUUUCUUGCCUCCAUCAUAGUCCAGUAUGAGGGUAGGGGAGAAAGGGAUCUGCCUCUUCCUCUUUCAGGCUCCAUCAUCAGCCAUCACCUCCUUCCCUGAGUCUACUGCAAGAGAAGAAAGUGUGACAAGGCAUCUCCAUCCAAAUGGCCUCUGACCGGAGGUGACACCUAUCCCUUUGACUCACAAUCCAUCAGCAAGAACAUGUGGAGGGACAGAGUGCCAAGGAAGGUGGUGCUGAUGUGUCAGAAUAACCAGCUAGUCUCCGCUACACCAUGGGCGGUGGCCGUGCCUUAUUCCAGUUAAAUUAACCAGCCUCCACUGCAGGAUGCUGACACUGACAGGAGGAGUUCCUGGCCCCCCAGAGAGACAGAGCUUCACAUAAAGAAAACUGAGGUGCAGGGCUGGGGCAAGAAACGUCUUCCUUUGUGGCUGUUUCUUCGCAUAGGUAAAGUCUGGUGGUUUAAUGCAGGUAUUCUCUCCCAUCCUCCUUACCCUAACUUCAUUUUCAUCUGAAAGAGUGCAAUGAGGAAAGGGCGCUUAGUGCCCGGUGGAUUGGUGUGUAUUCUCCGGUGCGCCUACUUGUCCUAGAGUGCACAGUGGCUAAGACUUCCCUUCCUUGCCCUGAGAAAGAAAGGAUGCUCUGUUCUAUAAAGUCCUGAGGGGCCUCGAUGGGUCAACACUGCUCUAUUAAUACAGAAUGGGAUGACUCACCAGCUGUUGUUUCACUGCUUUCAGCAGACACAUUGAAACAUUUGCAAAAUAGCAAAGGCUUCUGGAUGGGAGGGGCCGUGGCUCACAAUCCAGACCACCCAGCAGGCACCUCAGGUAAUGGGCUUGCACCUGACCCAGGUAGAAAUUCAACAACACGUCAAGGGGUUGGCAUGAUCAGUCUGUGCCAUUUGGGAAACCACAACACCCUCUUUUUCCUUCCCUAUCACUUCCUUUUCCUCAUUAUUUUCCCCCUCCUCUUGUACAACCAUAGAUCUCUCUAAAAACCUAUUCAGAAGGAGCUGUUAGAUUAAAUAAAGUAAAAACAAAUCCAGUUAAAAGAUAGCAAACGUUGCCUUGAUAUAAAAUUUGCCUUAUAGAGCGCACAGCAUGACCUACUUAUGUGUUUGAUUUUCAUAGGCUCAUAGAACAUUGUCCACGAAGGUGGGAGCAGCACCCUCCUCAAGUUUUAAGCGCAUACAAACCACUGGGGACCCUGGCGGAGGCGGGGAUCCUGGGGAAGGGCCCAAGAAUCUGCAUUUUGGAAAAGCAGUAAGGGGAUGGGCCACUCUCUGAGCAGCAAGUGUCUAGAUUCAAUGUUGUUCAACCAUUUCCAUUUCAAAACAUAUUUGUAAAUUUGCCCAAGUUAUAUAGAAAAUACAGUCUGAACAGAUGAUCAAAGUGGCAAAAUUGUUCUCCUGAAAACCGCAUUCCUUAAUAAAAACUUUGUUACAGAGGGGCGCCUGGGUGGCGCAGUCGGUUAAGCGUCCGACUUCAGCCAGGUCACGAUCU